CACGACCGAUUCUGGAUUGGUAGGUUGAGGUAAUGGCUCACCAAGCCUUUAACCGGUACGGGCCGUGAGAGCGGUAGCCCGGAGAUGGGUACUGAGACAAGGACCCAGGCCCUACGGGGCGCAGCAGUCGCGAAAACUCCGCAAUGCACGAAAGUGUGACGGGGCUACCCCGAGUGCCAUCCGCUGAGGAUGGCUUUUCCUUGGUAUAACUAGCCGAGGGAAUAAGGAGAGGGCAAGACUGGUGUCAGCCGCCGCGGUAAUACCAGCUCUCCGAGUGGUAGGGAUGAUUAUUGGGCUUAAAGCGUCCGUAGCCGGCUUAUCUAGUCUCCUGUUAAAUUCAGCGACCUAAUCGUUGAUCCGCGGGAGAUACUACUAGGCUAGGAGGCGGGAGAGGUCGACGGUACUUCUGGGGUAGGGGUGAAAUCCUAUAAUCCCAGGAGGACCACCAGUGGCGAAGGCUGUCGACUAGAACGCGCUCGACGGUGAGGGACGAAAGCUGGGGGAGCGAACCGGAUUAGAUACCCGGGUAGUCCCAGCCGUAAACGAUGCGGGCUAGGUGUUGGGGUGGCUACGUGCCACUUCAGUGCCGCAGGGAAGCCAUUAAGCCCGCCGCCUGGGGGAGUACGGCCGCAA
rnacentral:rRNA from 1 species